rnacentral:rRNA from 1 species
GAUGAACGCUGGCGGCGUGCCUAAUACAUGCAAGUCGAGCGAACGGACGAGAAGCUUGCUUCUCUGAUGUUAGCGGCGGACGGGUGAGUAACACGUGGAUAACCUACCUAUAAGACUGGGAUAACUUCGGGAAACCGGAGCUAAUACCGGAUAAUAUUUUGAACCGCAUGGUUCAAAAGUGAAAGACGGUCUUGCUGUCACUUAUAGAUGGAUCCGCACUGCAUUAGCUAGUUGGUAAGGUAACGGCUUACCAAGGCAACGAUGCAUAGCCGACCUGAGAGGGUGAUAGGCCACACUGGAACUGAGACACGGUCCAGACUCCUAAGGGAGGCAGCAGUAGGGAAUCUUCCGCAAUGGGCGAAAGCCUGACGGAGCAACGCCGCGUGAGUGAUGAAGGUCUUCGGAUCGUAAAACUCUGUUAUUAGGGAAGAACAUAUGUGUAAGUAACUGUGCACAUCUUGACGGUACCUAAUCAGAAAGCCACGGCUAACUACGUG